UUUAGGAUAUUAGCCAGCCGAAAGAAACUAGAACAUUCGUUGCUGCUAAAAAUCAAACAUCUUGUUACCACCUGGUUUCCUGCUAAAUUCGUCAAUAGCUGACAUAAUCAAUGAUUGUUGAAAAUUUCCCCCAACGCCAGCAAUAUUUCGUGGGCUCAACCCAUUCAGACUUGCCUCCGAUGUACACAAUAAUAUGUAUUAAGCUAUUAACCAUUUCUGUGGUUCAAAACAACUCUCAACUCUAAUCUUGAGAGAGCUAUUUUUCGUGAAAAUUGAUAUGUAAAACUUAGGGCAGUUUACGACAUUUUACGACACAAAGCUAAAUGAGUGUUUUUUGCGGCACUAGUCUGUCACUUAAAAUGCUCUGACUGACAAAACAAUGGGUUCAACCGUUGGAAAAAGAUGAUGACGAUUUGAAGGCCAAGCGUACCUCGACCCCCUGCAAGUAACAUUUGUUCAAGUUAUGAAAACUACCUAUUUUGAUGAUAGGAGGGAGGGAAAGUGCAAGAAGUACAUCCACAUUAGCAGCAUUAGUGUCACGACGCCUCUCGACAUUUUACCACUUAAGUAAAUCCCUGAAAGUCUCUGAUGCUGCUUUCGCCUGAAGAAGUUUUCGUGACAAGCUACAGAAAACAUUGAGCUCGCUGCGAAUCGCAAGUUAAGACAUUUUGAGUUGAGUCAAGAAAAGACAGCUACUGGCAAAUGGAUCCCUGAGGGACUUCUCUUUUGGCUAAAAGUCAGCGCAAAAUGAACCCCGUUUAUUUAACGUCUGCAUAAAUCUAUGUCCCCUGAUGUGAUGACAUUAAAAGAAAUCUCAACUGAGGUCAGAGGAUCCGCAGAAGCACACAAAGCAACAAACUUCUAGCCAAGGUGGACACUUUGUUAUUGACUCUGGCAAUUUUGGCGUUUUACGCAUCAAAUUUUGGAGUUUGGCUGGAGCGUUAGAAAAUGGAAACAUUCUGCUUUAAUGUAUCAAGCACAAUUAUCUCAAGAUCAUAUAUUUUUACUAUAUGCGGAGCAUGGUAGGAAUUUCUUGCACACCUUUUUUGGUCGUUCUGCCUUGAAAAUCUUUAUAAGUCAAAGUUCAGAAUUAUUUUGCUGAGGCUUAAAAUUUUUAAUUUUCCCACCAAAAAUACAGGCGCUAAAACUACGCAUGCGCUGGUUAGUUUGCUAAUUGCUUCUCUGUAACAUCUGUUCAAGAAUGUUUUAAUUUUCCCGCCAAAAGACUAAGAAAAGAUGGGGCGCUUUAAAUACGCAUGCGCCGUUUUUUUUUUUUUUUUUAUUAGGGAUAUUUCAAACAAGUAAGUUGUAUAUAUCAUAUAAGUGAAAAUAAAGCAGUUUUUCCAUUGUG